AAAGAUGGUCCCAUACUUGAAAUCCAACCAGAAAUGACAUAAUUUACCAGGGCAACAUGUACAAGUCAAAGGAGGAAGUUGACCUUAUAAUUGGAGGAUCAAUUGGGUAAUUGGGGCUUGACCUAGUGUUGAUGAUGUUUGAAUUGAAUUUUCCAUGGUGUAGUUUGUGGAGUGGAGUAGAUUUAGACCUUCAAUUGGUUGAAAAUCUGAGUUUGCGCUCGACCAAGUAGAUCAUGAGUUCAAUCUAGAAAUUGGCUCGUUUGGUUGAUGAAUUGCUGCAAUUGAUGGAGGACCCAAGGUCGUGAGUCGUGACAAUAUUAAUUCAAUAUUUUAUGCUUGAAUUGAUAGAUUGAUGCCUUGUAGAGUCAUCAAUUGAAAGGGGAUCGAUCGGUACUUUCAGGGCAUGAACUGUAGAGCGUGAUUCUACAAAUUUUGGGCAAAAUUGAUGGUGACCCAUGGCUANAUUAGAUGCUUCUUGAAGAGGCGGAGCUAGUGCAGGUAGUCCGCGGUCGUUGGUCAUCACACCGGCGCAGGAAAUGGUUUGAAGUAGUCGAACUCACUGUAAAAGAAAAUGGCUAUGGAUUUUGAUUUUCAGUUUUGUUUGAUGUUAUUGACACAUCUAUAGGAGCGCAAUGAGAAUCCUGAUCAACCUGGAGGAUGGGUAUAUCAUGGGUCACCGAAAAUGGAGAUUUCAAUUGGUUUUUGGUGUGUGGACAGCCUACUUUUGCUAGAAUUUUUGGCUAAAUCCGUCGAGUUUAUGGCAUAAGGUUGUAGGUUAUGAAGAGAGAAAUGAGGGCUUGAAGAUGGUAUGUUGGUUCGGUGGCCAACGUGGGCGGAGGUUGGGGUUAUGGUGGUCCAUAGUUAGCGUCUUCGGGUAGUCGAAAGUACCAAGGAGAAAUUUUAGUUAGUUAAUGGGAUAGAAUCAAGUUUGAUUGGUUUUAGGGCCAAUCCAAAACUGAACUGAUCAAUUUAGUUUAACUAAUUAUCCAACCGAAUCAACCCAAAACUGAGAAUAAAACCAAACUAUCUUCAGUUAGGUCAAUCCAGUUCAUUCGGUUUGGAGCUCUAGAAAUUGUUGUUUAGAAGCUUAGAGAGGUUAAUUGUGUAAUGAUUGAGUCGAACCUCAACUAAAACCAGCCAAAAUCACCACAAUGAAAUCACAAGAUGAAGAUAUCUAGCUGGGAUAAAACAACCCAAGCUUCAACUGUAUUGAUUGAACCAAAGUGAUCACAAUAAAGAAGAGAGAAUGAGGAAGAUAACAGAGAAUUGGGGAAGAAGAAAGAGGUAUAAAAUUCUAACAAUUUUCCACAAGUUCCCCUACUCCCUCCAUUUAGUUAAGAGAAGAAACGUAUUUGUUGCUAGAACGUGUUCGCAUGAUUACAAUUUAGACUUAAGUAAAACGACGUCAUAUAGGAAUUUGAUUGGAAAUUUUGUUAAACCCCGUUGGCUCUUGUUAUUCUUCUUUUCCCAUUUGAGCUCUGCCUUUGCUGUCAUUUGUUGCUGAUUGUUACGUUCCUCCCCUUGAAUUGACCUUAUCCCCAAUGCUUGAAAUUGAGGAUACUACUUUUGAAUGGUUGUAGCCUCUUCCCAUGUAGCUUCGUCUAUGUUAGAAUUCUCCCAGUGGAUUAACCAUUGAGUCAUAGCCUGGUUAUUUAGUUUGAUAAUACGGGUUUGUGAGGCUGGUUUGCCACCUUCUGGCAUCAAUAGAAUAGGUACAUCUUUGUUCUCCAGUUUCUGCUCAAGUAAUGAAACAUGGAAAAUGAAGUAAAUUUUAUAAGUGGUAAUUACAGUUUAUAAGCCACCUAUCCAAUCCUUCUGAAUUGGUAAGGCAUAUAGUACCUAGCAGCUAAUUUCGAGUUGAUUCUCAUGACCACAGAUUACUGUAUGUAGGGUUGAAAUUUCAGGUAAAACGAUUUUCCCCUUGAAAUUCCUUCUCCAUCAUGUGUGAUCAGCAUAAAACUUCAUUGAUACUCUAGCUUGACCCAAAUGCCCUUUUAACAAAAGGUCCGUCUGAUGUCUUUCUUGAACUAACUCCUCUACAGCCGCCACAUUAGUUUGUUGAUAAGGUCCCAACGCUAGCUGUGGUGGUUUAAUGCCAUAUAAGGCUUCAAAGGGAUGCAUCUUAAUGGUAGUAUGGCAGGUGGUGUUGUACCACCAUUAGCUAGAGAUAGCCUAUUAAACCAUUGUAUAGGCUGAUGAAAGGUCAUACAACUUAGGUACAUCUAUAAGCAUUGGUUGAGCCUUUUUGUUUGCAGGCGGUAAACAGAGCUUAAAUGCAGUUUAAUGCCCAACAAUUUGAGUAGUCCUUGCCAAAACCCACAAGUGAAGACCCUAUCUCUAUCCGAUACCAUACUUCGCGGCAUUCCAUGUAAUUUAUAUAUGUUAUCUAGAAAUAUUUUGGCCACAGUAUAAGCAGAAAAUGGGUGUGACAAGGUAAUGAAAGGCCCAUAUUUAGUGAUCCUAUGCACCAUUACUAGCAUUAUAGUUUUUUUUCCUUUUGAAGAAAGCAGUCCUUCAAUGAAGUCUCUGGAUAUGUGGCUCCAAGAACACUAUGGUUCAUGCAAUUGUCGUAAUAGGUCAGGGUAGGGAACAUGCUCUUCUUUAUAUCUUUGGCUCCAUUUUUACAAGCCAAAAGAAGUGCUAUUUAUUAGAGUAUUUAUACCUAAUUAGUGGUAUCCUUGUAUAACUUGUAUAGAAUUGGUAGUUGCUAUAAAAUUAUGGACGUCAAUUUUGUAUAGCAAACUUCUUUCCUUAAUUUUCUCUAUAAAAGUCUGUAAAGGAAAACAAUACAUACCAGGAAGAUUCAUUGAGCCAAUUCUUGUCAUGAUAUCAGAGCUAUAGGUCCAUUUUCCAUCCUGUGGUUGCGCUCAAUUUACUGCUCAUCUUAGUCUGUAUUGACGUCUGUAGAUUUCUCUUGUACUUUCGACAUCAAUCAGUGGUAGGCAUCCAUAGUUGAGCCUCUGUUAAUCCAGGUCGAACGUAGGGGGUCGAAUCUCAUUUCCUUCCAGUAGUGUCUCGUCUUGUUUAACUGUUAUCUGGUUAUCUUUGGUUCCUUCUGAAGAGGGAUUCCAAUCUCUAUCUUCUCUGAAGGUUGGGUCUUUGUCACGACAGGCUGAUUUCGGGGCACUUGAGAUGUACGUCAUGAUGUCGAUUGAACGAAGAAUGGAGAUGAUGAUAUUCUCUAUUUUGGGCCUCAAUUGUUUCUGGUGGAACACGAGUGGCAUUUAUUUUCUUUGAAUUGGGCUUAAAUUGGUUUUGUUGGGUUUUGUAGUUUGUGUAAAUAAUAUCAAGUAUUGGGC
rnacentral:lncRNA from 1 species